rnacentral:lncRNA from 1 species
AAUCAAAUACCUAAUCAUCUUUUAUUUCAAAUAGUAUAAUUAAUUAAGAAAAAACUUCAAAAAUCCCCCACGUGGUUUCGUAUUUUUUACUUUAGUAUCAUGUGGUUUAAAAUAUAUCAAUUUGCUCCCCUGUGAUUUUAUUUUUCUCUUUUUAAUAUCAAUGUUAUUAUUUUUUUCUUAAAAUAGUGACAAAGUUAAAAUUAAAGGAUACUAAAGUAAAUAUUCGAUAAAUCUAGAUAGGUAUCUGAAGUUUUUUUGUAUAUAAUUUAACGAAAUAUUAAGAAAAAAACUGUCAAAAAGAUAAAAAUAAAAUCACAUGAGGGUAAAUUGAUACACUUUAAACCACAGAAUACUAAAGUGAGAAAGUACGAAACCACAGGAGACUUGUAAAGUUUUCCCAUUAAUUAACUAUAAAUCCAUCAUUUUAAUUAUAAAAUUCCUAUAAAAUAUUAUUAAAAUGUUAUAAAUUAUUAAC